CCUACGGGGGGCAGCAGUGGGGAAUAUUGCACAAUGGGGGAAACCCUGAUGCAGCGACGCCGCGUGAGUGAAGAAGUAUUUCGGUAUGUAAAGCUCUAUCAGCAGGGAAGAAAAUGACGGUACCUGUUUAAGAAGCCCCGGCUAACUACGUGCCAGCAGCCGCGGUAAUACGUAGGGGGCAAGCGUUAUCCGGAUUUACUGGGUGUAAAGGGAGCGUAGACGGCAGCACAAGUCUGGAGUGAAAUGCCGGGGCUUAACCCCGGAACUGCUUUGGAAACUGUGCAGCUAGAGUGCAGGAAAGGUAAGUGGAAUUCCUAGUGUAGCGGUGAAAUGCGUAGAUAUUAGGAGGAACACCAGUGGCGAAGGCGGCUUACUGGACUGUAACUGACGUUGAGGCUCGAAAGCGUGGGGAGCAAACAGGAUUAGAUACCCCAGUAGUC
rnacentral:rRNA from 1 species